AACCAUAUAUGCAUCAAGGUUUGCUGCCAAUGCACUGCGAAAUUUGAGAGAAAAUAGCAGACACAAUAGAAUGCAACAGAGACUACUACCUCUGUUACCUCCAAAGCCAGCUGAACCAGAUUUCACUUCUCAGAAACACUAAUUUGCAAAUAGGAAUAAGUACAUGUUAAUGUUAUCCAUACUCCAUAGCUAUUUUGUGUGUAUAUUUUGGGAGGGUUGCUUAGGAAUUGCUUCAACAACUACAUGUGGAUAUGUAGGGGUAAUAUUUCAUCAAAAUUUAAUUAAACAAUCAUUUAGAUUACAAUUUUUUAAAUAACCGUCUAGUUAAUACUGCAAUAGUGACAGAAGUUUCCUUGAAAAUGUACUAAUCUUGAAUUUGAAAAUAUUUCUGGUUAAGGAUCAAGGAAGAGUAGCUAAAGAACAAAAAGCUUAGGUGCAUUUCCUGUAGAGUAGCCUUUCUAAUCCUCAAAUAAUUAGAUAUCAAGGUCACAAAUUACAACAUAGACCUUUGCCAUACUAUCUAAAAUAUCAUCUAAUAGUGAUGUUGGUAUCAUAUACACCAAAAACAUAUCUAUAAGAUAGGAUUAUCUACAUCUCAAAAUGAAGAGAUUUUCUCUAUAUUUAUUGCUACAUUUAUCCCUAUAGUUGGAUUACACUGGAGUAAAAAAAAAUACUUUCCAUCAAACGCAAUUGAGGCCUACCAAAAAGAUAAAAAAAAUUCAUGGAUAAGUCAAUAAAUCCCAUGUGGAAUUGUCUUAAAAUAUGAUGCGUUGACAAUUUUACAAUUAGAAGAGUAAAAUUUAUUUUUUAUGACGCACAUUAUCUUAUUCUAAGAUAAUGAUGAGAAACUGUAUUAAAAUAUACACUGGUGAUAAUUUUAUAAUUAGAGGAAAAAAACUACAACAAUUCUCGAUGAUAACUAUCGUCGUUUAAAUUUCCUGUAAUUAUGAAAUUAUGACCGGAUAAUCCACAAAUUCUGCUUGUAAGCUUGUAAGGUAGAGCUUUAACCUGUCUAAACUUGUAAAGUCAAUUAAGAUGGGAAGCACGAAACAAAUCAGCAAAUUCUCGAAAGAAACAACAUUUUAGAUUAUGGACACCCUCCACAAGUACCUGCAAAGUGGAACAAUAUCUUGCUCAAUUUCACGAGUCCAAAGGGAGCACUCCAUUUGCACAGCAGUAAUGGGAUGAACAGCAUGUGCCCUUCUAAUUGUGACAAGGCUAGCUUCCGACAAUCCAAUGUACCUUAUUUUUCCCUCUUGGACCAGCUUUUUAAGCACUCCCAUCUGCCAUUCAAAGAAAACCGAACAAACAUAUCAAAGACAGAGCCACCAAAUAAAUAAUCCUCACAUGAAGAAAAGUAACAAAAAAUGUUUGGUGGCACCACUCACAGUGUCUUCAAUGGGUACAGUGGUGUCAACAGGGUGCUGAUAAUAGAGAUCAAUGUAGCUGGCACCAAGGCGUUGGAGGCUACCCUCGCAACAGGACCGAACAUAUUCAGGGGAACCAUUCACUAUCACAGUAUUACCAUUUACCAUUCGGUUUUGUAUUGGAAAGAGUCUAAUGUUUGUUAAGAAGUAACUAAUUAUCACUGGUUAUUAAAGCUGACAAAGAAAUCAAACACAUUAUUAGUAUCGCAUAAGCAGCAUUCUUAGAUAAAAAUAUUGGAUCAGUAACGUGGUUUUGGGCUUACUGUUUUCUUUUCCCGGCCUUAUUUUCUCGAGUUUCAUUUUUUUUCCCUUAAAGAAUUCGGGAUGAAUUCAUUAUAUUUUCAAAUUAAUUUAAAAGAAACAAAAAUAGAAUACCGGGAGUUGAUUUUUAUUUAGAAGGAAAAAAUGUGUACAGAUAGCAGUUCAUUAAAUUGUGUGCAAAUUAACACAUUCAUCACAAAUAACACCAAACUUUAAUUUUAUCAUAAUUAACCAUAAAUUUUAUCAUAUUUACAAAAUAUAUAGACUUCAUAAACUUUUUUUUUUCAAUUUAUCCUAAAAAUUUACUAUUUUUGUAUUAUAAAAAAACACCAACUUUAAAUUCAUUCAAAUUAAUUUUUCAAAAUUAUCUUUUUUAAAAAUAGUUCUUUCUAUCAAGUCAUAGUGAAAUAUUUCAAAUAAUGUGUAUCAUUCGCUAAUUUUUUUCUUCUCUAUAUUAAUUCAUUUCAUUAUAUAUUAAAAUAUAUUAAAACGAUAAGUUGUCUUUAUUAACUUGAUUUUUGAUAAUUGUUAUGCAUACAUAAUUUUUAUAUUUAAAUCACAUAAUAAUUAUCUAUUUUUUUCUCUCUUUUAAUAUUUCUUUUGUGUUAAAAUAUUUGGGAUUUAGUUUCUUCUGGGUUUUAUUCUGUGAAUGUUAAAGUUAAUUAAUUUACAAUGUUUUUUUUUGUAGAAAUGACACACAGGGAGGCCUGGAAAAUAAUUGAAAAAUGGGAACACACCGAGUGCAACAGUCCCACUCAAGGCGACAUUAUCGCUCAAUACAAGAAGCCCCCUUAGCACAAGGAACCAACUUGAAAACCAAUUGUCACUUGAGAGCGCACUAAGGGUAGAUAAGCUUGUAAAUUGUUGUCUAAUCACUAUCGAUUUAUUUGGUUUGUUAUUUUUUUCUUCUAUAAUUAGUAUUAUUUAAGCAUUAAAAACAAGUGGAUCAAUUCUGGCCAACCCAAUGGUCAUAGGCAAUUAGGCUAGCUUGUUUUCAUCAUAAGACUCAUCAUGCUUGCCUUGCUCAUUUGACAUUUUUAGUCUUUUUCAAUAGAUUUUAACUUUAUUUUUAUCUAAAUCAUAAGUAUCUUUUAAUAAAAAUAAUUUUAUUUGAAUCAGAUAAAAUUAUUAUGAGUUAUAAAACUCUUCCUUUAACUAUUUCUUAAACUAAAACAACCUUACAUUAAUUGAGUUAUGCAUUUAGUGAUUGUCAAUAAAUUUUAACUGCAUAUAAUAGAUAAUAUAAAAUAAUCUUUUGGUAAAAUAAUAUAAAUAUAAAAUACAAUUUGAGAUUUACGACAUCACAGAAUUUUUUUAUCCUUAUUGGUGAUUUAAGGAGGAAGAAUCUCCCGAGGGCUUAGAGGCAAAGUCCCAUGUGGUGGCGUACGUGGUCGUAAUAUUGUGCAUAAAAUAUGAAAAAUUUGCUGUGUUUCAUUUUCUUAUUGUAUUGGCAUUUUCCGUGAAGUCUUGGUCGUUGCCUCUCCUCAGUUUCUGUGUUCUUUCUCAUGAACUCAGGUCAAAAUAAUGCAGCGUCGGCACUGCUUUUUUAAGGUGUGUCCGAGUGCACUGUCACACACGACGCGCGUACUAACAACAAAGCGUCCAUUGUUUCAUCAAUAUAACUUUGAAGACUGCAAACGCUCCCUCCAAGUCUACAAGUUAUAUAUUACUGCAUGUAAUCUAACUUUGCACAUUUAAAAUUGUUGUUUCCUUUUCCUUUUGUGAUAAAACAUACCAAACUCUUAUUUAUCUACCUUCUACUUCUCGCAAUUGUUCUUUUCCUUGGUUUUUCAGAAACUAAACACGGAGUCAUGUUGAUGUUUACUUGACUUUGCAAAUUGACUUCACUUGAAUUUAAAUAUCCUAGUCAUUGGUGGCUAUACUUUUGUAAAUUGUAACUUAAUUAAUUUAUAAUAUUGCUAAACAAAUCAUUGAUCCUUGCCUUUCCUACUUACAUAACGUCAGGAGGAGGAAAAUAAGUUUCUUAUUUGAUGUUGGAUUUUGCAGGCUUUAAUCUUCUGUUUCUGCGAAGCUUACCUGUUCUCACUGGAUGCUCAUGUAGCUUAAUCAUAAAUGCAAACGGACACAAAUUUGUGAGGUUCGGUUGUUCGAUCCUGGUGUUACUGCAUAUUUUCUACCGUUUUAAUUUUAGUAAUCUAGGUAGGUACACACGUUGCGAACCACUUCUGCUUUAUCUAUUUGUAAGUUAAUUUGCCCAUACUGCCUCAUUUAUUUUCUUUUAAAACAGGCUCACCUGCCUCAAAAAUUAAUGAAACUUAACUGUUUUAACUUUUGAUAGCUGCAUGUUUAUAAAGUUUGACAGAUUGACAUACUACAACUUUAUUCUAUGUUGCUUCGUCUUCCAAGUUGGGUAAUUACCAGUUUUAAAAUCAACCAUAAGAUCAGAGUCUGCUCUAUGUGGUUUGUGUUCUCUAUUUUGUUCAAGUUAAAACACUCUUCUACCUCUAGCCGCUAGUAACGAGAUUUGAUCAUGCUAUCAUUUUGAUUUUGGAGUAUGUAGUAGUCAAAGUCAACAAUUGAGGCGUCCCUUUGGAGACUUGAUCAUAACUCAUGUGAUUUUCGUAAUCGUUAGAAAGUAACUUAUAUGAUAUAUCGAUCUGAUACAUCAUACAUUCAUACAUAAUCACUAAGUUUAAAUUUCUCUCCAUCCAGGUUGGAGGACGGGAAAUCAGAGCCGUCUUUUAGUAUAGAGAUAGAAGAUUUUGUUAAUGAUGUACAUAACGAAAAGAAAAGUUAGACCAAGUGUGAGUGCUGUUUUUUGAAGAGUAUAGGAGGAAGGCUGGAAAAGAUGAAGAACUGGAGGAGAGAUUCAGAUAUCCUUCCUGUAACUGUAAGUGAUGGAAAGAGAACUAUGAAGAAAAUUUUUGAUCCACAGGAACCACUCCUUCAGAAAUGGAACAAAAUCUUUGUAAUAAUGUGCAUAUUGUCAGUCGCAUUGGACCCACUCUUCUUUUACAUUCCAGUGAUUAAUGAAGAUAAAAAAUGCCUUCAUUUGGAUGGAGCAUCGAAGAUCACUGUCUGUGUCUGUGUUCUUCGGACUUUCUUUGAUCUAUUUUACAUUCUUCGCAUAAUCUUUCAGUUUAAGACAGGUUUCAAGACCCCUUUUUCUCGUGUUUUUGGAAGGGAUGAGCUCAUUCAUGAUCCUGUGCCUAUAAUGAAAAGAUACUUAACUUCACACUUCAUCAUUGAUAUUCUAUCAAUUAUUCCACUUCCGCAGGUAUCUCCCUCUUAAAUUCUUAAAUAUAUUUAUUUUCUGAUGGUAAGUACUAAGUAGCCAAAAUGUAUUUUCCAGUUCGGUUUGAUGUGAAAGACAUGAUAAUUUGAUGUCGUGUUAGACACUGUAGGUGAUUUUUUUAGCCAUUCCAAACCUGAAAUCACCGGAUCCAUUAGUAGUAAAGGAUUUGUUGAAGUAUUCAGUAUUGAUCUUGUAUGUGCCAAGGCUGUGGCGGAUCUAUCCACUAUACCAAGAAGUAAAGAAAACUAUUGGAAUAUUCACUGAGAAAGCAUGGGCUGGAGCUACCUUUAAUCUUUUUCUCUUUACCCUAGCAAGUCAUGUAAGCUUAUUUUUGUUCCUUGUCCAAAUCCAAUUUAUACAUGUUUCUAGGUAGUUAUCAUGCUGAGUUUUAUGAUAAAAAAAUAUACAUGUGGCUUAUCAGAUGGUUGGAGCCGUCUGGUACAUGCUUUCUAUAGAGUCAGAGGUGUGGUGCUGGCGCAGAGAGUUGAAGAAUGCUUCACUCUUUCAUGAAGAAUACUUGAGUUGUGGACACGGCGAUCAAAAUGUCUUUCAACUUCUCAAUAAAACUUGUUCUUUCAUUGACCCUGAUAAAAUCAUAGACAAAAACACCUUCAAUUUUGGAAUAUUCUUUGAUGCUUUAGAUUCAGGUGUGGUAGAAUCUACAACAGAUCUUCAUCAGAAGUUCUUCUACUGCUUUUGGUGGGGUUUGCGCAAUUUAAGGUGGCCCAAUAAUCUAUUGUUUUUAUAUAUAUGAAAAUCCAACAUUCUUAUUUUAUGACCUAUAGAACUUCUAUAUCUUUAUCUAAUUUCGUUUCCUAUACUUCUAUGUAUUUAUUUGAGUUUGUAACAUCUUAUCAAGGAAAUGUUAGUGCAACCAAAAUUAAAAAUUGCCAUCUUUUGCAGUUCCCUUGGACAAAACCUCAAAACAAGUAUUAAUGUCAUAGAGAUAGCCUUUGCAAUCUUUAUUGCCAUUGUUGGAUUGGUUUUGUACUCAUUGCUUAUUGGAAACAUGCAGGUAAUUCGUAGUUUACCGAAAUGAAAUAAUGUAGGUGUUGAGGGACCAAGUUCAAGAAUGCUUUUCAUUUCAAGGUUUAAUACACAUUUUUGGAAAAUUUUAACUAGGUCACUUCACUAAAAACAUUUAUAAUUGGGUUCUUAAUCUUUUACCAUUUUUGUAAUUGGAUCCUGAAGUUAAUAAAACCACCACAAAUUGAUUAUUUUUCUAGUGGUUUCAAACAGUCACUGACUAACUCCAAGGAUCCAAUUACAAGAAAUUUACAAUACUAAGGAUCCAAUUACAAUUUGUUUAGUCCAAGGAACUAAUUAAAAAUUCUCAAAGAGUGUAAAGGACCUGACAUAUUAUACCUUAUUUCAAAAAAUAAUAAAGUUUUUCAGAAGCUGGGGCAUGGCCAGAUGAAGCAACAUAUAUAGAACUAGUUAUCUCUAAUGUCUAUUUGAUUUAAAUACUUAUGUUAAGAAGUUGUCAUCCAAAAAUUCUUCCCUUUAUAGAUUGCUAAAUUGUUGAAUAUUGUUACAGAAAUAUCUUCAUCAAUAUACGCAAUCUAAAAACUUUAUAGAGGAAAAGAAGAGAAACUUUAUAGAGGAAAAGAAGAGAGUGAAGCGGAGACAUGAAAUAGAACUCUGGAUGUCCCACCGAAUGCUACCUGAGGACUUAAAGCAAAGAAUUAGACGUUUUGAACAUUACAAAUGGCAAGAAAAUAGCGGUGUUGACGAGGAGGCAUUAAUUCGUAACCUUCCUAAAGAUCUCAGAAGGGACACUAAGCGUCACCUUUGCUUAGCUUUAGUUAGAAGGGUGGGUAUCAUCCAUAAUCAUGAUUCCUCCCCAUCAAAUUAUUAUUAUUUUUUCUAACCAUAGUGCGUGUAAUAAACAUUUUUAUGUUCUUAUUUUAUUGCUUUAGGUGCCAAUGUUUGGAUUAAUGGAUCAGCAGUUGUUGGGUGCAAUGUGCGAUAGACUGAAGACAGUCCUUUAUGAUAAGCAUAGCUGCAUUGUUUGUGAAGGAGAUCCACUUGAUGAGAUGGUUUUCAUUAUGAGUGGAAAAGUUUAUUCUGUGACAACAAAUGGUGGAGGAUCUGGUUUCCUCAAGGCUGGUGACUUUUGUGGAGAGGAACUUCUGACAUGGGCUUUGGAUCCCAACUCCUCCUCAAAUCUACCCAUUUCAACCAGGACAGUACAAACUAUGUCAGAAGUUGAAGCCUUUGCUCUCAUGGCUGAUGACUUGAAGUUUGUUGUUUCCCAAUUUCGACACCUUCACAGCAAACAGCUCCAACAGGUUUUCAGGCAAGGCUUGAUAAUUUAUAUCAUGUCAAUUUCUUCUUUUUCCUCUUUGAUUAUGCAUCAUUACAAUUUGUUGAAUCGUGCUAGACAAUAGGAAACAAGGUGCAGAUAUAACUCAACCAUAAAUUUUGUUUCUGACUUCUGAGAGUAGUUUUCUUAUAUAAUCCCAUCAAAUUCAUUUUAAUAUCAAAUUAUAAAAACUUUAGCAAUAACAGAAGUCAUAAAAACCAUGUGAUGAACAACCUUAAAGUACUACUCGUUUUUCAUAUGAGCACAUGUGGGAUUAUUGUAAUGAUCUUAGAAUACAAUUCUCUUAUUUUUGUCGUAUUUUCUUUUUUUCAAAAAACUUUAUAACCUCAUCAAUUUUGCAAUGUGCUUGUUAUUCCAUGCAGGUUCUAUUCUUCACAGUGGAGGAGAUGGGCUGCUACUUUCAUACAAGCAGCUUGGCGUCGAUACUGGAAAAAGAAGAUUGAGAGGUCAUUGCGCGAAGCAGAAGAUGAGCUACAAGAUGCUUUUGCAAAUGAGGAAGGGUCUAGUCUAAGCCUUGGUGCAACCAUAUAUGCAUCAAGGUAAUUUGCUGCCAAUGCACUCGAAAUUUGAGAGAAAAUAGCAGACACAAUAGAAUGCAACAGAGACUACUACCUCUGUUACCUCAAAAGCCAGCUGAACCAGAUUUCACUUCUCGGAAACACUAACUUGCAAAUAGGAAUAAGGACAUGUUAAUGUUAACAUACUCAUGGGAGCCAAAAUUUAUUGUAAUGUAAUUUUUCCUUAAUAUCUAUUUAAUGUAAUGUUAAUUUUUAUUGUUUCUUUGAUGUGUUUUAUUAUUAUUAUUUAACGCAAUGUUAAUUUUUAUUAUUUCUUUCAUAUGUUUUAUUGUUAUUGUAUGACCUAAUCAUCCAUGCAUUUGUUGACAAAUUAACUUAAGAAGUUCUUUUUACAAACUAAUUAUCUAAAAGGGUCUAUUUUGAAACUUAUUCCUAGGUGUCUAUUUCUAUAACCAUUUCACCUUCAAAGCUGGUGAAACAUCAAGAACAGUAGCGUUUCGCUGUCUAAACUGACAAAACACAAUGGGAGUGAAUUUCAUCAUCCUCAUUGGCGAAAUCGGUGGUGCAGUCCCAUUUCGCCAUCCUUGUUGACGAAAUAGGUACAAUCAUUCUUAAAAGGUGUUACCGCAAGACAAAGAAGAUGAAGCUUUUCCUAUAUACUAAUAAAUUGUUCAAACAUGUGAACGUAUGAGCAUUUGAUAUAUAACACUUAUAACAAAACAAAUAUAUAACACUACCACGUUGUAAAAAAAACUCCAAGAAAAUAUUGACAUUAGAGAAGCAGCU
rnacentral:lncRNA from 1 species